GAAAUACCACCCUUUAAUGUUUGAUGUUCUAACGUGGACCCGUGAUCCGGGUUGCGGACAGUGUCUGGUGGGUAGUUUGACUGGGGCGGUCUCCUCCUAAAGAGUAACGGAGGAGCACGAAGGUUGGCUAAUCCUGGUCGGACAUCAGGAGGUUAGUGCAAUGGCAUAAGCCAGCUUGACUGCGAGCGUGACGGCGCGAGCAGGUGCGAAAGCAGGUCAUAGUGAUCCGGUGGUUCUGAAUGGAAGGGCCAUCGCUCAACGGAUAAAAGGUACUCCGGGGAUAACAGGCUGAUACCGCCCAAGAGUUCAUAUCGACGGCGGUGUUUGGCACCUCGAUGUCGGCUCAUCACAUCCUGGGGCUGAAGUAGGUCCCAAGGGUAUGGCUGUUCGCCAUUUAAAGUGGUACGCGAGCUGGGUUUAGAACGUCGUGAGACAGUUCGGUCCCUAUCUGCCGUGGGCGCUGGAGAACUGAGGGGGGCUGCUCCUAGUACGAGAGGACCGGAGUGGACGCAUCACUGGUGUUCGGGUUGUCAUGCCAAUGGCACUGCCCGGUAGCUAAAUGCGGAAGAGAUAAGUGCUGAAAGCAUCUAAGCACGAAACUUGCCCCGA
rnacentral:rRNA from 3 species